rnacentral:misc_RNA from 1 species
GGAAGUAAAAGUCGUAACGAGGUUUCCGUAGGUGAACCUGCGGAAGGAUCAUUACAGAGUUCAUGCCCUCACGGGUAGAUCUCCCACCCUUGAAUAUUUAUACCUUAGUUGCUUUGGCAGGCCGUGGAAACACCAUGGGCUCCGGCUUAUGCGUGCCUGCCAGAGGAAACAAACUCUGCUUUUAGUGAUGUCUGAGUACUAUAUAAUAGUUAAAACCUUCAACAACGGAUCUCUUGGUUCUG